CCUACGGGGGGCAGCAGUGAGGAAUAUUGGUCAAUGGGCGCGAGCCUGAACCAGCCAAGUCGCGUGAGGGAAGACGGCCCUACGGGUUGUAAACCUCUUUUGCCGGGGAGCAACGGGCGCCACGUGUGGCGCCACUGAGAGUACCCGGAGAAAAAGCAUCGGCUAACUCCGUGCCAGCAGCCGCGGUAAUACGGAGGAUGCGAGCGUUAUCCGGAUUUAUGGGGUUAAAUGGGUGCGCAGGCGGGCCUUUAAGCCGGCGGGGAAAUCGCGGGGCCAAACCCCGCCGAGCCGUCGGAACUGGGGGCCUUGAGUGCGGCGGAGGCAUGCGGAAUGCGCGGUGUAGUGGUGAAAUGCAUAGAGAUCGCGCAGAACCCCGAUUGCGAAGGCAGCGUGCCGUGCCGCCACUGACGCUGAGGCACGAAAGCGCGGGGAUCGAACAGGAUUAGAUACCCUAGUAGUC
rnacentral:rRNA from 1 species